rnacentral:rRNA from 1 species
GGGUCAGUAGGUUGGUCGUGCCACCGGUACGUACUGGUCUCACUGAUUCCUCCUUCCUGAAGAAUCGUAAUGCCAUUAAUUUGGUGUUGCGGGGAAACAGGACUGUUACUUUGAAAAAAUUAGAGUGUUUAAAGCAAGCUAACGCUUGAAUACAUUAGCAUGGAAUAAUGAAAUAGGACGAUCGAUCCUAUUUUGUUUGUUUCUAGGAUUGACGUA